rnacentral:piRNA from 1 species
UGGCGCCAUUUCCGAGAAGUUCUGUGACCUG